rnacentral:rRNA from 1 species
UUACAGAGGUCUCGUUAACCGAGAUCUCUCAAACGGAAUGAGUACAACGUGAAUCCUUUAACGAGGAUCGACUGGAGGGCAAGCCUGGUGCCAGCAGCCGCGGUAAUUCCAGCUCCAGUAGCGUAUAUUAAAGCUGUUGCGGUUAAAAAGCUCGUAGUUGGAUAUCAGUGUGGUUCAGCACGACAUGCCCGGUGCGUUAUGGCGUUCUCGCGAUGACGUCCGGGCUCCCAAAUGUCGUCUGGCUACAUUCAAUGGCGUCGGACUCGGCGGCCGUACUUCGGUGGGGCCUGCCGGCGACCGGCGGUGUUACCUUGAACAAAUUAGAGUGCUCAAAGCAGGCUCUCAAUGCCUGUAUACAUAUUCAUGGAAUUGGAGAAUACGUCCCUGGCUCGAUUUGGUUGGUUUUGAGAGUCGAAGGGAAAUGAUUAAUAGGGACUGACGGAGGCAUUCGUAUUGCGACGCGAGGGGUGAAAUCCUG